CCUCUUGUGAUGUUAACAGCAUGACUUUCGUUCUUCUGAUAAUGCUGAAGCCAGCCGUUCCAGUCUGAGGAGG
ensembl:snoRNA small nucleolar RNA SNORD59